UAAGAGUCUGUUNCAAGGUGUACAGUGU
rnacentral:piRNA from 1 species